rnacentral:rRNA from 1 species
UACGAAGGGGGGCUAGCGUUUGUUCGGAAUCACUGGGCGUAAAGGGCGCGUAGGCGGCUUUAUAAGUCGGGGGGUGAAAGCCUGUGGCUCAACCACAGAAUUGCCUUCGAUACUGUAGAGCUUUGAGACCGGAAGAGGUAAGUGGAACUGCGAGUGUAGAGGUGAAAUUCGUAGAUAUUCGCAAGAACACCAGUGGCGAAGGCGGCUCACUGGCCCGAUACUGA